CGUUGAUACUGCUGUGCAGCCUUGUUUCAACGAAACCCUAGGGUGUACUAGGGUUCAGGUAUGUUGAAAGGGUGCUCUGAGGUUUGGGGGCAUCGACUGAGGUGGUUGCUGAAACCCUAAUCUAGGCAGAAACCCGAGAGCAAGAUUGAUUUCGCUGCUCUGGCGAUUUCGCUGCUGGCGAUUUCGCUGCUCUGGCGAUUUCGCUGCUCUGGCGAUUUCGCUGCUCUGGCGAUUUCGCUGCUCUGGCGAUAGAGCUCCGCUCUGGCGCUGGGCUUCGCUGCUCUGGCUAUUGAGCUCCGCUCUGGCCCUGGGCUUCUCUGCUCUGGCUUUAGCUCUGCUCUGGCUUGGGCUGCUCUGCUCUGGCUUGGCUGCUCGGAUCUACUGUCUAUCUGAAUCAAAGCGAGAGUUUAUCGAAAGACGAUGAGGAUUGCCUAAAGACGAAGACUUUUGUAAUAGAUUAGUUUUCCCUUUGUAAUAAAGUAGGCAGGGACGAACAGGUUCCAAUUUCUACGACAAGACGACACCUUUUACGUUUUUAUUGUCG
rnacentral:lncRNA from 1 species